UCAAAUAAAUCUCAAAUCAAUUAAGAAAUUGAUGAGAGUAUUUUUCAUAGAUUCAUCAUCAUUCAAAGAUGUUAAGAAAAUAUUUUUGCGUUUUUUGAAUAUUGGAAACUAUUUAAAAUGAAUUAAAAAUAACCAGAAAAGAGAAAGUUCACAAAAAAUAUUAAAUGAACUCAUAAAAAAUAUUAAAAAUCAUUUUCAGAAACUAGAAUUAAAAAGGGAAAUAAUGCAAUUGGUCCCAUAUUUUUUGGAUUUAAAAUGAAGAAGAUAUGAAUUUUUGAAAUAAAAGGAAAUAAAAGAAAAUAAAAUGAAAAAAUCAUUUUCAGAAACUAGAAUUAAAAAGGGAAAUAAUGCAAUUGGUCCCAUAUUUUUUGGAUUUAAAAUGAAGAAGAUAUGAAUUUUUGA
rnacentral:lncRNA from 1 species